GACGAACGCUGGCGGCGUGCCUAAUACAUGCAAGUCGAGCGGACUGAAUGGGAGCUUGCUCUUGUUCGGUCAGCGGCGGACGGGUGAGUAACACGUGGGCAACCUGCCCGCAAGACCGGGAUAACUCCGGGAAACCGGAGCUAAUACCGGAUAACACCGAAGACCGCAUGGUCUUUGGUUGAAAGGCGGCGCAAGCUGCCACUUGCGGAUGGGCCCGCGGCGCAUUAGCUAGUUGGUGAGGUAACGGCUCACCAAGGCGACGAUGCGUAGCCGGCCGGAGAGGGUGACCGGCCACACUGGGACUGAGACACGGCCCAGACUCCUACGGGAGGCAGCAGUAGGGAAUCUUCCGCAAUGGGCGAAAGCCUGACGGAGCGACGCCGCGUGGGCGAAGAAGGCCUUCGGGUCGUAAAGCUCUGUUGUGAGGGACGAAGGAGCGCCGUUUGAAGAAGGCGGCGCGGUGACGGUACCUCACGAGGAAGCCCCGGCUAACUACGUG
rnacentral:rRNA from 1 species